UGGUUUACGCUCUGCUCCUGGCUCAGCAGC
rnacentral:piRNA from 1 species